UUAAUGAUGAAAGUACUUUUUUUAGGUGAUCUGUAGAGAACAAACCUUAAAGUGCCACUAUAUACUGCUGCCACGAACAGUCCUGGCAGACCAGGGUAUUCACUCAGGAUGUCCAACACCAGGUUAAGCCGGCCGCCCUGAGCGGAGUCACUGAUGAUAGUGGAGAUCCCGCCCUGCAGAAGCACUGAUUGGACGAUGACAGCCAAAAGACCAGCCAAUAGGAUGCCAACCUGGAACACGUCCGUCCACACCACCGCCUUCAGACCGCCCUGCCAAGUAGAGAGUGCAGACGACCCCAGUCGACAUGACGGCACCCCAGAGAUCCACACCAGUGACUGAGACAAGAGAGAGAGGAGAGAGUUCACUUGACCAUAGAGUGCUCCUGCACAUUAUCAAGCAUACUUGUUACACCAUGCACUCCACAAAUAAUGCAGU